UACGUAGGUGGCAAGCGUUGUCCGGAUUUACUGGGCGUAAAGAGCGCGCAGGCGGUCGUUCAAGUCGCGUGUGAAAGCCCCCGGCUCAACUGGGGAGGGUCACGCGAUACUGAUCGACUCGAAGGCAGGAGAGGGUAGUGGAAUUCCCGGUGUAGUGGUGAAAUGCGUAGAGAUCGGCAGGAACACCCAGGGGGAAACCAGCGGACUGGGCAUCGGCUGACGCUCAGGUGCGACAGCGUGGGGAGCGAACCGGG
rnacentral:rRNA from 1 species